rnacentral:rRNA from 1 species
UACGUAGGGUGCGAGCGUUAAUCGGAAUUACUGGGCGUAAAGCGUGCGCAGGCGGUUCGCCAAGUCAGGUGGGAAAUCCCCGGGCUUAACCUGGGAAUUGCGCUUGAAACUAGCGGGCUUGAGUUCGGGAGAGGGAAGCGGAAUUCCGGGUGUAGCGGUGAAAUGCGUAGAUAUCCGGAGGAACACCGGUGGCGAAGGCGGCUUCCUGGACCGACACUGACGCUGAGGCGCGAAAGCUAGGGGAGCAAACGGG